rnacentral:rRNA from 1 species
GUGCAGCAGUCGAGAAUUUUUCUCAAUGGGGGCAACCCUGAAGGAGCGACGCCGCGUGGAGGAUGAAGGCUUUCGGGUUGUAAACUCCUGUCAUUUGAGAACAAGUGCCAACAAGUAACUACUGUUGGCUUGAUAGUAUCAGAAGAGGAAGGGACGGCUAACUCUGUGCCAGCAGCCGCGGUAAUACAGAGGUCCCAAGCGUUGUUCGGAUUCAUUGGGCGUAAAGGGUGCGUAGGUGGCGUGGUAAGUCGGGUGUGAAAUUUCGGAGCUUAACUCCGAAACUGCAUUCGAUACUGCCGUGCUUGAGGACUGGAGAGGAGACUGGAAUUUACGGUGUAGCAGUGAAAUGCGUAGAGAUCGUAAGGAAGACCAGUGGCGAAGGCGGGUCUCUGGACAGUUCCUGACACUGAGGCACGAAGGCCAGGGGAGCAAACGGGAUUAGAUACCCCUGUAGU